CCUAAAAAAAAGCAUAUGGAAAAUUUAUGGGGGCGGCGGUCUAAGUUAUAACUCACCGCCGGAGCAGUUGCUGGUUACGGAAAGGAAAAACUUCGAUUGCAUAUUCUUCAUCGGUUCUCUAGAGUCCGAUAAGCUUUUCGCUGCUGAUUUACCAAGAGGAAGGAACACGCCAAAAACCUUUAGGAUGGACCUGGACGGCCUAGACGAACGGAGCCAGGUACCAUCACGGACCUCCAGAUUCGCACCCAAGUCCUCUAAAUUCAAGCCGAAACCAAAGUCGGAAGUAGUUCCGAAACCGGAGCCCCAACAGCCGCCAACGAAGUUGGAACCUCAACCUCCAGUUUCUAAGCCGGAAGUUGUAGAGCCUGAUGCUCAAAUUGGGGAGAAGAAGGAAGACGGUGAAGAAGUUGAAGUAAAACCUAAAGUUGAAUCCUCACUUCCUAAUGGAGUUGCUAAAAUGGACGUUGAAACUAAGUCGGAAGUUGAAGAGGAUACAAUGGUGGAUGAUGAUCCAAUGGAAGAGGAUGCUUCUGAAGAUAUGGUGGUUCGUGAAAUUGACGUUCUAUUUACUCCUUCAGUUGAUAGCAAUUCGAAAUUAUAUGUAUUGCAAUAUCCUCUUAGACCACGUUGGAGGCCCUAUGAAUUUGAGGGGCGAUGUGACGAGGUAAGAGUUAAACCAAGCACCGGAGAAGUGGAAAUCGACCUGAAUGUUGAUAUUGAAUCCAAUAACUAUGACAGCAAAGCUGAUGACACAUUCCAAAUGAAGAAGCAGACUUUGACAUCUUCAUGGCAACCGCCUCUAGCUACGUCCUAUGCUGUUGGGCUGCUUAUGGGCAAUAAGCUACACCUGAAUCCCGUACAUGCAGUUGUGCAACUUCGACCAUCAUUUGAACACCUUAAUUCUGGUGGUCCGAAAAGGAAAAAUAACAUUAGAGCUGAUUCAGAUGUUAAGUCAGAAGAGCAUGUGGAUGUUAAUUCUGCAGGUGCAUCAAGGAAGCAGAAGAAGCAAACAGGACCUUCAACGGAACUUAAAACUAGAGAUGAGGAGUGCUGGAUUCCACUCAAGUACUAUGGCUUAGAAAGUGAUCUAUCAACCAGACAUCUGCAAAGCAUGGUGUCACAAACAGUUUCCCCUAUGCAAUUUUCAAUGAGUCCGCACGACUAUAUGGACUCCUUGUGUCCUGGUACGAGUACAAGCAGCAACAAGUCCAAAGGUCCAUCUAAAAAGUAUUUGCUUUCAUUGUCUUUGGAGGAGCGGAUUAAGAAAUUGCUCACCGAGGGACCACCGGUUCAAAGAUUUAGUGCACUUAAGCAUUAUGCCCCUGAUUAUGAAGCAGAAGAGUUUCUCGAGGCUCUUCAGCAAUAUGCUCAGUUGGUGCAGGGUCUCUGGGUUCCAAAAAGUUUAUUUCUAAUUCCGCAAGAUGGCAGUGGACGUUGUGCUAGGGAUUUUGUUCUUUUUUUGUUUAGCAAGAAUCCAGUGGUCAGCUCUUCCCAGAUAAAUGUUCCAAAGUCUCUUCGGGACAGAGUGAAACAUUUUUUGAAUUUAUUUGGCGUUGAAAGACCUGCCUUCAAGGACUGGAAAUUUAAGGAGAAAACAGACCAUUCAUUUUUAAGCAACCACGUCAAAAUUGUUCAGAAGCAAGAAGAGGGCUGGAACGCCAUGGAAAAAGCGCUCCCUUUCCUGAGAUCUAUGAAAAGUGGGCCCCAUACAACUGCAACCACAGGAAAGCCUGACGUAGUUCCCAAACCUGAAAAACAAGUCAGUUGUGACAAGACUACAACUAAAAGCAGUAAUGCACCUCUUAACCGCAAAGGUGCAAUGUCGGAUGAAACUCGAGAAGCUUUACCAAAAGCCCUUCAAAAACUUUUUCAAAAUCACAAGGUUUGCAGCUUUCAGUUGAUAUGUCAAGGUUUGCGUGACUUGGCUGUGUCUCAGUCUACUCUUCCAAAAGCUGAUGCCAGAAUGGCGGUGGCUGCUGCAUAUGGUGUUGAUGCUCCUCCAGAAGAAUUAAAAAAAAUCAUAAGCCAAGUCGCUACUGAGAUUCAUGGUCUCUAUGUCUUGACCUCAUCUCCAGAGCAUCCAGAAUAUGAUCCAUUGAGGAAAGUUGUCAUUCAACUUUUACGUGGACGAGGACCUAAAGCAGUGCUUAAAAAGGCUGAUGUUUUGGAAGCUUCAAAGCGUGAACUUGGUAGAGCUAUCAAUAGCAAUGAAUAUAGCAAGGUUAUGAAUGAAAUUUGCGUGUCCCACGGUUCUUCUUGGACCUUGAAGAGUGGCGAUGGAAAUUCAAGAUGAGUAGGCUCUUGGAACAUCGUCUUACAAAAAAACAUUUUUCUAGUGCAAUUGCGAGCGAGUUAUUGAGCCCCUCCGAGUUCAAGGGACAAAGCUCAUGCCAAUAUCAUUAGGUACCAUAUUCCAGCGCAGGGAAAGCUUAGUGGAAAAUGCUUUGACAGACUCAACACUCUUUAGUAUCAUUGUGCAACACACAAAUUUUGAAAUGUACAAAGGUAAAUAUUAACCCUCUUAUAGUAGGCAAUCUUAUCCUUGCUGUGUCAGCAAGAAACAGCUAAUGUAAUGCUACACAGUGCACAAUUUUAGGGGAUCCUUCAAAUAUUGGCAAUGAACAAAGAUCUAUUUUUUCC